UACAGAGGUCUCAAGCGUUGUUCGGAUUCAUUGGGCGUAAAGGGUGCGUAGGUGGCGCCGUAAGUCAGGUGUGAAAUCUCGGGGCUUAACUCCGAAACUGCAUUCGAUACUGCCGUGCUUGAGGACUGGAGAGGAGACUGGAAUUUACGGUGUAGCGGUGAAAUGCGUAGAUAUCGUAAGGAAGACCAGUGGCGAAGGCGGGUCUCUGGGCAUCUCCUGACGCUGAGGCGCGAAAGCGUGGGGAGCAAACGGG
rnacentral:rRNA from 1 species